CACGUAGGCGGUCUACUAAGUCAGAUGUGAAAGCCCCGGGCUUAACCUGGGAACUGCAUUUGAUACUGGUAGGCUAGAGUAUGGUAGAGGGGGGUAGAAUUUCUAGUGUAGCGGUGAAAUGCGUAGAUAUUAGAAGGAAUACCAGUGGCGAAGGCGGCCCCCUGGACCAAUACUGACGCUGAGGUACGAAAGCGUGGGUAGCGAACAGGAUUAGAUACCCUGGUAGUCC
rnacentral:rRNA from 1 species